rnacentral:rRNA from 1 species
GCAAGUCGAACGAAGCACCUUAAUUGAUUUACUUCGGAAUGAAGUUAUUGUGACUGAGUGGCGGACGGGUGAGUAACACGUGAGCAACCUGCCUUUCAGAGGGGGGAUAACGUUUGGAAACGAACGCUAAUACCGCAUGAAAUAUUCUUGUGGCAUCACAGGGAUAUCAAAGGAGCAAUCCGCUGAGAGAUGGGCUCGCGGCCGAUUAGAUGGUUGGCGGGGUAACGGCCCACCAAGUCGACGAUCGGUAGCCGGACUGAGAGGUUGAACGGCCACAUUGGGACUGAGACACGGCCCAGACUCCUACGGGAGGCAGCAGUGGGGAAUAUUAGGCAAUGGGCGAAAGCCUGACCUAGCGACGCCGCGUGAGGGAAGACGGUCUUCGGAUUGUAAACCUCUGUCUUCAGGGACGAAGAAGAUGACGGUACCUGAAGAGGAAGCCACGGCUAACUACGUG